rnacentral:rRNA from 1 species
GACGAACGCUGGCGGCGUGCUUAACACAUGCAAGUCGAACGGAAAGGCCCUGCUUGCAGGGUGCUCGAGUGGCGAACGGGUGAGUAACACGAGGGUGAUCUGCCCCUUACUUUGGGAUAAGCCUGGGAAACUGGGUCUAAUACUGGAUAGGACCAUGCUGUAGGUGGUGUGGUGGAAAGAUUAGUUUCGGUAAGGGAUGAGCUCGCGGCCUAUCAGCUUGUUGGUGGGGUAAUGGCCUACCAAGGCGUCGACGGGUAGCCGGCCUGAGAGGGUGGACGGCCACAUUGGGACUGAGAUACGGCCCAGACUCCUACGGGAGGCAGCAGUGGGGAAUAUUGCACAAUGGGCGCAAGCCUGAUGCAGCGACGCCGCGUGGGGGAUGACGGCCUUCGGGUUGUAAACUCCUUUCAGCCAUGACGAAGCCCUUGUGGUGACGGUAGUGGUAGAAGAAGCACCGGCUAACUACGUG